rnacentral:rRNA from 1 species
GGUUGAUCCUGCCAGUAGUCAUAUGCUUGUCCUAAAGAUUAAGCCAUGCAUGUGCAAGUAUAAACGGUUAUACGGUGAAACUGCGAAAGGCUCAUUAAAUCAGUUAUAAUUUACAUGAUGAAUACUUAUUACAUGGAUAACCGUGGUAAUUCUAGAGCUAAUACAUGGGAGAGGGGUGGCGUGAGCUACUCUGUAUUUAUUAGAUAAAACCAAGGCUUUUAGGAGCGAAUGGGGAGUCAUGAUAACUGAGCGGAUCGUAAGGCGUUGAGCCGACGACGCAUCAUUGAAAUUU